rnacentral:lncRNA from 1 species
UGUUCUCCCUCGGCGAAAUCGACGGAAUCAGUCGUCGAUGAUCUCUCCUCGACGGAAUCCGCCUCAAUCUGCCUAUCGCUCUCCCCGAUGACUCCGUGAUCUCUCCUGGUGAUAGCUCCUCGAAGAUGAUCUCUCCUCGACACAAUCACUCGAAGAUGAUCUCUCCUCGUCUCUCUCUCUUCUCUAGGAAUCCCCGAUGAAUCUCUCCGUGACUCUCUGUGUCGAUCUCCUCGACGAUGAAGAAGCAGAUGAAAUCUCUCUCUCCGGCCCAGAUGAAAUCAAAACGAAAGGUAAAUCUGAAUCCUUCUUUGGUAUUUUGAUUAGUUGUUGUGUUGGUCUGUGCCUCAUGAUUUGUCUCUGUCUUUGUUGCUUCAUAUGGAUGGAUCAAAGAAGACGAGAAGCCCGUAUUGACUGUGAUUCUCGUCUGCAAU